rnacentral:rRNA from 1 species
AAACUUUCAACAAGGGAUCUCUUGGUUCCGGCAUCGAUGAAGAACGCAGCGAAAUGCGAUAAUUAAUGUGAAUUGCAGAAUUCAGUGAAUCAUCGAGUCUCUGAACGCACAUCGCACCCCCUGGUAUUCCGGGGGGUAUGCCUGUCCAAACGUCAUU